rnacentral:lncRNA from 1 species
AGUCGACUCGAGAGAGAAAUGCAGAAAAAUAGAUCUCUGGAAUCCUAAGAACGAGCCGUCUCCAAAAUGCCGAGUCAUCUCCAGAUCUUGGCGAGUCGACUCCAGGAUUGGACCGAGUCGACUCUAGGUUGGGACGGCAUUUUAAUUCAAAUCCUGAACUGUGGGCGAGUCGUCUCCAGUAAAGCAUGAGUCGACUCCAGCAACAGCCGAGUCGACUCCAGAUCGAGCGAGUCGACUCCAACCCCAACGGAUACAUUGUCAGGAGGUGCAGACUGUGCAGAACGGCUACAAAUCAGUGUCUAACGGCUAUUUUUCAAAAGGAACUGGUUAAAUAGCCCGAGUAAAUAGUAAUAGAAAACAAGAGAGUUACUCCAUCUGUGCAUUAAGGCAUUUCCAACUACCAAGAGUCCAUUAAGAGAAAAGACAAGCAAAAGAAGGAAGAAAGGCAUUCAAUUCAUUCCUAGAAGUUUUUCCUUCGCUUUCAA